GCCUUUGUAGUCUAGUGGUAUGAUUCCCGCUCUAUAUGCGAGAGGUUCCGAGCUCAAUUCUCGACACAGACU